rnacentral:rRNA from 1 species
GGCCUUGACAUACUAAGAACUUUCCAGAGAUGGAUUGGUGCCUUCGGGAACUUAGAUACAGGUGCUGCAUGGCUGUCGUCAGCUCGUGUCGUGAGAUGUUGGGUUAAGUCCCGNAACGAGCGCAACCCUUUUCCUUAUUUGCCAGCGGGUCAUGCCGGGAACUUUAAGGAUACUGCCAGUGACAAACUGGAGGAAGGCGGGGACGACGUCAAGUCAUCAUGGCCCUUACGGCCAGGGCUACACACGUGCUACAAUGGUCGGUACAAAGGGUUGCUACCUCGCGAGAGGAUGCUAAUCUCAAAAAGCCGAUCGUAGUCCGGAUCGCAGUCUGCGACUCGACUGCGUGAAGUCGGAAUCGCUAGUAAUCGCGGAUCAGAAUGCCGCGGUGAAUACGUUCCCGGGCCUUGUACACACCGCCCGUCACACCAUGGGAGUUUGUUGCACCAGAAGUAGGUAGUCUAACCGCAAGGAGGACGCUUACCACGGUGUGGCCGAUGACUGGGGUGAAGUCGUAACAAGGUAAGCGUAGAUGA